rnacentral:rRNA from 1 species
UACGUAGGGUGCAGGCGUUAAUCGGAAUUACUGGGCGUAAAGCGUGCGCAGGCGGUUUUGUAAGCCAGAUGUGAAAUCCCCGGGCUUAACCUGGGAAUGGCAUUUGGGACUGCAAGGCUUGAGUGCGGCAGAGGAGACUGGAAUUCCUGGUGUAGCAGUGAAAUGCGUAGAUAUCGGGAGGAACACCAGUGGCGAAGGCGGCGAUCUGGGCAGAUAUUGACGCUGAGGUGCGAAAGCGUGGGGAGCAAACAGG